UACGUAGGGUGCAGGCGUUAAUCGGAAUUACUGGGCGUAAAGCGUGCGCAGGCGGUUUCUUAAGUCAGAUGUGAAAGCCCCGGGCUUAACCUGGGAACUGCGCUUGAUACUGGAUGGCUUGAGAUUGGGAGAGGGAUGCGGAAUUCCAGGUGUAGCGGUGAAAUGCGUAGAUAUCUGGAGGAACACCGGUGGCGAAGGCGGCAUCCUGGACCAACACUGACGCUGAGGAGCGAAAGCCAGGGGAGCAAACGGG
rnacentral:rRNA from 1 species